UUAAGUUAAUAAGGGCGCACGGUGGAUGCCUUGGCACUAGGAGCCGACGAAGGACGUGACAAACGACGAUAUGCCUUGGGUAGCUGUAAGUAAGCGAUGAUCCAGGGAUUUCCGAAUGGGGGAACCCAACAGGUAAUACCUGUUACCUACAUCUGUUAAGGAUGUGAGGAGGAAGACGCAGUGAACUGAAACAUCUAAGUAGCUGCAGGAAGAGAAAGCAAAAGCGAUUGCCUUAGUAGCGGCGAGCGAAACGGCAGAAGGGCAAACCGAAGAGUUUACUCUUCGGGGUUGUAGGACUGCAAUGUGGACUCAAAGAUUAUAGAAGAAUGAUUUGGGAAGAUCAGCCAAAGAGAGUAAUAGCCUCGUAUUUAAAAUAGUCUUUGUACUUAGCAGUAUCCUGAGUACGGCGGGUCACGUGAAAUCCCGUCGGAAUCUGGGAGGACCAUCUCCCAACCCUAAAUACUCCCUAGUGACCGAUAGUGAACCAGUACCGUGAGGGAAAGGUGAAAAGCACCCCGGGAGGGGAGUGAAAUAGAACCUGAAACCGUGUGCCUACAACAAGUUCGAGCCCGUUAAUGGGUGAGAGCGUGCCUUUUGUAGAAUGAACCGGCGAGUUACGUUAUGAUGCGAGGUUAAGUUGAAGAGACGGAGCCGUAGGGAAACCGAGUCUGAAUAGGGCGCCUUAGUAUCAUGACGUAGACCCGAAACCAUGUGACCUACCCAUGAGCAGGUUGAAGGUGCGGUAAGACGCACUGGAGGACCGAACCAGGGCACGUUGAAAAGUGCUUGGAUGACUUGUGGGUAGCGGAGAAAUUCCAAACGAACUUGGAGAUAGCUGGUUCUCUCCGAAAUAGCUUUAGGGCUAGCGUCGACAUUAGAGAUUCUUGGAGGUAGAGCACUGUUUGGGUGAGGGGUCCAUCCCGGAUUACCAAUCUCAGAUAAACUCCGAAUGCCAAUGAAUUAUGGUCGGCAGUCAGACUGCGAGUGCUAAGAUCCGUAGUCGAAAGGGAAACAGCCCAGACCACCAGCUAAGGUCCCAAAAUAAUUGUUAAGUGGAAAAGGAUGUGGGGUUGCACAGACAACUAGGAUGUUAGCUUAGAAGCAGCUAUUCAUUCAAAGAGUGCGUAAUAGCUCACUAGUCGAGUGACCCUGCGCCGAAAAUGUACCGGGGCUAAAACAAUUUACCGAAGCUGUGGAUACCUUUAUAGGUAUGGUAGGAGAGCGUUCUAUGUGUGAUGAAGGUAUACCGUGAGGAGUGCUGGAACGCAUAGAAGUGAGAAUGCCGGUAUGAGUAGCGAAAGACAGGUGAGAAUCCUGUCCACCGUAAGACUAAGGUUUCCAGGGGAAGGCUCGUCCGCCCUGGGUUAGUCGGGACCUAAGGAGAGACCGAAAGGUGUAUCCGAUGGACAACAGGUUGAUAUUCCUGUACUAGAGUAUGUAGUGAUGGAGGGACGCAGUAGGCUAACUAAAGCAGACGAUUGGAAGAGUCUGUCUAAGCAGUGAGGUGUGAAUUGAGUCAAAUGCUUAAUUCUAUAACAUUGAGCUGUGAUGGGGAGCGAAGUUUAGUAGCGAAGUUAGUGACGUCACACUGCCAAGAAAAGCUUCUAGCGUUUAAACAUACUCUACCCGUACCGCAAACCGACACAGGUAGUCGAGGCGAGUAGCCUCAGGUGAGCGAGAGAACUCUCGUUAAGGAACUCGGCAAAAUGACCCCGUAACUUCGGGAGAAGGGGUGCUGACUUAAAGUCAGCCGCAGUGAAUAGGCCCAAGCAACUGUUUAUCAAAAACACAGCUCUCUGCUAAAUCGUAAGAUGAUGUAUAGGGGGUGACGCCUGCCCGGUGCUGGAAGGUUAAGAGGAGUGCUUAGCGUAAGCGAAGGUAUGAAUUGAAGCCCCAGUAAACGGCGGCCGUAACUAUAACGGUCCUAAGGUAGCGAAAUUCCUUGUCGGGUAAGUUCCGACCCGCACGAAAGGCGUAAUGAUUUGGGCACUGUCUCAACGAGAGACUCGGUGAAAUUUUAGUACCUGUGAAGAUGCAGGUUACCCGCGACAGGACGGAAAGACCCCAUGGAGCUUUACUGCAGUUUGAUAUUGAGUGUCUGUACCACAUGUACAGGAUAGGUAGGAGUCUAAGAGAUCGGGACGCCAGUUUCGAAGGAGACGCUGUUGGGAUACUACCCUUGUGUUAUGGCCACUCUAACGCCGAUAGGUGAUCCCUAUCGGAGACAGUGUCUGACGGGCAGUUUGACUGGGGCGGUCGCCUCCUAAAAGGUAACGGAGGCGCCCAAAGGUUCCCUCAGAAUGGUUGGAAAUCAUUCGCAGAGUGUAAAGGUAUAAGGGAGCUUGACUGCGAGAGCUACAACUCGAGCAGGGACGAAAGUCGGGCUUAGUGAUCCGGUGGUUCCGUAUGGAAGGGCCAUCGCUCAACGGAUAAAAGCUACCCUGGGGAUAACAGGCUUAUCUCCCCCAAGAGUUCACAUCGACGGGGAGGUUUGGCACCUCGAUGUCGGCUCGUCGCAUCCUGGGGCUGUAGUCGGUCCCAAGGGUUGGGCUGCUCGCCCAUUAAAGCGGCACGCGAGCUGGGUUCAGAACGUCGUGAGACAGUUCGGUCCCUAUCCGUCGCGGGCGUAGGAAAUUUGAGAGGAUCUGCUCCUAGUACGAGAGGACCAGAGUGGACUUACCGCUGGUGUACCAGUUGUCUUGCCAAAGGCAUCGCUGGGUAGCUAUGUAGGGAAGGGAUAAACGCUGAAAGCAUCUAAGUGUGAAACCCACCUCAAGAUGAGAUUUCCCAUGAUUAUAUAUCAGUAAGAGCCCUGAGAGAUGAUCAGGUAGAUAGGUUAGAAGUGGAAGUGUGGCGACACAUGUAGCGGACUAAUACUAAUAGCUCGAGGACUUAUCCAA
rnacentral:rRNA from 1 species